rnacentral:rRNA from 2 species
UGGGGAAUAUUGCACAAUGGAGGGAAUUCUGAUGCAGCGACGCCGCGUGAACGAAGAAGGCUUUCGAGUCGUAAAGUUCUUUUAUAUGGGAAGAUAAUGACGGUACCAUAAGAAAAAGCCCCGGCUAACUACGUGCCAGCAGCCGCGGUAAUACGUAGGGGGCUAGCGUUGUCCGGAAUCACUGGGCGUAAAGGGUUCGCAGGCGGAAAUGCAAGUCAGGUGUAAAAGGCAGUAGCUUAACUACUGUAAGCAUUUGAAACUGCAUAUCUUGAGAAGAGUAGAGGUAAGUGGAAUUUUUAGUGUAGCGGUGAAAUGCGUAGAUAUUAAAAAGAAUACCGGUGGCGAAGGCGACUUACUGGGCUCAUUCUGACGCUGAGGAACGAAAGCGUGGGUAGCAAACAGG